rnacentral:rRNA from 1 species
CAGCCGCCGCGGGAAUACGUAGGGUGCAAGCGUUAUCCGGAAUUAUUGGGCGUAAAGAGCUCGUAGGCGGUUUGUCGCGUCUGCUGUGAAAACUGGAGGCUCAACCUCCAGCCUGCAGUGGGUACGGGCAGACUAGAGUGCGGUAGGGGAGAUUGGAAUUCCUGGUGUAGCGAUGGAAUGCGCAGAUAUCAGGAGGAACACCGAUGGCGAAGGCAGAUCUCUGGGCCGUAACUGACGCUGAGGAGCGAAAGCAUGGGGAGCGAACAGGAUUAGAUACCCCGGUAGUCCCUGUCUCUUAUAC